GAUUGAUCUUCCACCCACUCACAAACCAUCCACAUGCGAGGAGAGAGCAUUCCCUGUACCACAGAAGGAAGCUAUGCUUCAGAAAGAACAUUUUGCUUUGCAAAGCCAGUACAGAGAGAAGGAUGCUGGAAACUUGCAGCACAUGAAGGCUGUGAAUGGAGGGCAACUUACUUGCGAGGUGGAAGAGCCACAGGAGCAAGAAGGUCUGCAGCAUAUGUAUCCUGUUUAUCAGCAAACAUACUACAAAAAUUGGAGCAGCAGAUACCCGCCAAACUCAGGACCUGGAAGAGUCUACAUCAAUCCGAGGGAGCAUUAUGUAUGAAUCUGUACCCAGGUGUCUUAACUUUUAAGAUGCGAGGGGUUUAAUACCUGUUGACUGUCUGACCAAUAUGUCUCAUUGGCUUUGCUCUCUAAAGUAACUGGUCUUUUUUCCCGUGGGAAGAAAUCGCAUGGAGAAUUUUAUGUAGGUAAACCCUAUAGAAUUUGAGACUUAACUUGCUUCUAGUUUUUGAUAUGUAUUUGGUUUUGUAGUUCUAUCAACCUGCCAAAAGAGAAGAGCGUUUAGCUUUACUAACCUUCCUAGUCGUAAGAUGUAUAAAUUAGAUUAAUUGGUUGACACAUGCCAAAACGUAGUUAAGCUGUUUCCCUGGUUAUUUCUGGGAGCAUUCUCUCCCUGACUGGAUAUUUUAUAAUACCCUUACCUGUAAAAGUGAGUAAAUAUGAGCAAGACAAACAAAUCCCUGGUGGCAUAAGCAGUCUUGGGCUGAAAGUAAUUUUUUUGCAUCUUUGAAAACUUGGGAUCAUUAUCAUUUUGACUGGCUAUUGAUUUGUCAACUAGCUCUACCUCUCCCAGUCAAAUGAGCAACUAGACUACCUCUCAAAUACUGACUUGCCCGUUUCAUAAUGUAUGUUGUGUGUCUUCCCACCUUGUUAAAAGCGAAGCAAUUUUCUUACAUCAAAAACUUCGUGUUUCAUAUUGGUCUUCCCUGUCAGUCGGUGUACUUGCUGGUUGUAGCUUCACACUAGGUCUAUGUGAAACUUAGUUGCAAGAAGUAGAUUAUUAGACUUAACUCUCUGAAAAUUGUCUUACGUGUAGCUGCAUCUUACCUACAUAUUGAUAUUUAGCCUUUUUUCCAGGUAUGGGUCCUAUGUUAAGUGUUGCAGAGUUUGUCUUGUUUGUUAAUAAAUACAUCUCACGUUUUUUGGCUGCUUCUCAGUUUGCAGUAAAACUGCCUGUGAUGUGUUCUUAUGUAUUAGCAAGAAAAAGAAAGCCUCAAGCAGACUUCAGGUAGUCUUCAGCACUGUCCUUUAACCUUAACCAGUAGUGUGAAGUAACUGGAGAAUGUCCCGAUGUUACCAGUGUUAACAGUAUCCCACGUCAGGCGUUGGUGGGUUUGAUUUUGGUUUUUUGGGGGGGGAAGAUAAUGAUUGAAAAAAUGUGCUCAGGACCUUUUUAGAAAAACAAGUUUUCCUUUGGACUGAAAAAUGUUAAGUAAAAAAAAAGUAUAUAAUGUGUUAGUGCUGAAAUGAGCUCACAGGAAAAUCUUAAAGUAUUUUAAGACAGCAGGAAAUAAGACAGUGAUUAAAAUUUGGUAGAGAAACUUAAACAACUAGUGAAUUCUAUACACAUAGGUACAGAAUAAUGAUUUUCAGUCAGAUGACCUGAAGCCAAAAUACUGAGAAUGGCUAUGUCAUACUGAGCUAGCUAUUGUUUCAGAAUUAAACAUCGUUUCUGUAAUAUUUACUGUUUUGUCUGCAGAUGAUUGGAUUUUUCAGAGGGAAGAGUCGUAGCUGUAGAAGGAAUAAAAUUGCAAGGUAGUUUAGUCGUGUGCUGCAGCCAGGAUGCCAUUAUACAGCUGUAUUCAACCUGCAUUUAUCUCCAUCGUAGCAGAAGUUAGAGGUCCCUACCCACAGAGGGCUGGGUUAGUAUUUCUGGUUUGUUGCAGGUAGCAGUUCGAAGAUUAUGGUUUAGGUGCCUAUUUUCUGGACACUGUACAAUGUACUGUGGACAAUGUACAAGACAUUAACUGUUCCCUUGCUAAGCAAGAGAUUGCAUGAUGUGGGUGAGGUUGACAACUGAAGGAAUGGCAAAGGAAAAGGUUGGAGAGAAUCUGUUUCUUGGGAGCUUUCUUUGAAAUGCUGUUAGCUUGCUUUUUUUCUUAGGGACUGAGCACAUUUGCGUAAAUCGAGCAACUGGUUUCAAUUUCAAAGCCUCCUGUGGUAUUUGAGACCUUAACGAGGGCUUAUGUGCCCCAAAAAUAUAUUUUCCAGUAACAUCAGUGUCAGCAGCUACCUCUUCCCACCAGUGUUGCCUCGCCUAUCCCUACAUUACUGCAGCUGCAAAAAGCAUUUACUGCCAGAUCGUGAAAAGAAAACACUGUCCUGGCCAAAUGUUACAGCAAAGAGAAUGACAGAACAUCGAGAUAACUAUACUGCUUGAGAUAAUUUGAUCAAUAUCACUGAGAAAACCUUGAUACAAACAAUACUGGGAUAUAUAUUAUAGGAUUGUUUAAAGCUGUUAUUGUGAUAAUGCUUCCACUGCAUUCAUUAGUACAAUGUGAUUUUGAGCAGAUGAUCAUUUCAGUUUCUAUUGUGUUGGCGGAUGAUGUAAAAAAACAAUUAUUUUGGGUUGAGACCUCUUCUACCGCCUCUUAUUUGCAGAUACAUUUUUGUUUGAAGGGUUGGAACUUUGGGGGAAAGAGGGAGGAAGGAAGAAUGCUAUCAACAAAGCUAUUAUUGCUUUUUUCGGAUUUAUAAAACUAGGUUGCAAAAAUGUAGUCCAGCUGCGGUGCCCACGUUAUGUAUUGACAGAUUAGGGGAAGCUGGAAUUGCAGACCACCCGUCAGCGUGUAGUUUGCCCUAAAGUCAUUAGGGAGAUAUAUUAUGUUUAUUACCUGUGAGAAGUGGUUUCUUUGUAACCUGUUCAGAGACAUUGCGUGUGUUAGGUGUUUUGAACCCUUGCUUGUAGUCUUAAGUGUGGCUGGAGAUUUGAGGGAGGGGAUUUGGCAGAGUGCUCUGAAGAGAACAGAAAAACGUCUGCUGGUUAGGAUUUCCCACAGAAAGGAUUGCACAUGUAGAAGUAAGUUUGAUCUGCUUUAAGAUGUAGAAAACAUUCUCUUUUAUUUUUGUACAUUUUCAAAUGUUUGUAUUUGUAUUUUGAUUUGAAUAAAAGCAUUGAAGAUAGGAACUUUGCAUAUGUUGUUUAGAUUUAAGAUUGCUUAAGGUAUGGAAAAUGCAUCCACUUUUCUUGGUGAUAAGUUUCCUUCUCUCUGGUUGUAUGUGUGGGGUAUGUGUUUUUUUCUGAACAGCACCACUUUUGAAUACCUGUGGCACCAGAUGCUGAAACGAGAUAUCCUUUCAACGUUUGUUUUAUUUAACGGGGGGCAUACAGAACUUUGUGUAAAGCCAGCACUUAAGUAAAUGGCACAACCAAAAUCACUGUUGAAGGAGAUCGGAACCGAGAAGAGGAGGAGUUGUGUAUGUCUCUAGCUUUGGCAAAUGUAAAUUGUCCUCUGCUCAAGUAUCUUUUAGAUUCUACAAGCUAGUUUAAUUACAGGAAAUGCAAGAUUUCAUGUUUGGUAUGCAUCCAAAAUGGUUUUGGAUUUGUAAAAAAAAAAAAAAGGGAAAACUAAAAAAAAUGUGCUAUUUAUAAAAGGGGAAAUGCUUAGACAAGAGAUCAUUAAGGGACCACUGCUGUUAGGUCACAAAAUGAUGUAACGUAUUGGGUAUCCAGCUUGAGGGAAGCCCAGUAAAGGUGUUGGUAAUUCAUGAAGAGUGGAGGGAAGGUUUUCACCUUCCAGUUCUUGGCUUUAGCUGCUUUCUGGCAGUGCUCCUGCUGUUGCCUUCUGAGAUUCUUUUCUGUAUCUUCUCAGAUACAAAACUGAGUGCAGAAUGCUGUCUUGUAUAGGUAAGUCCUUAAAAUAUAGUAUAGUAACUUCUCUGAUGCUACAGACCUGAAGCUACUCAUGUGAACCGCUGUGUUUGGAGGCUCUGCGUGUGAGUGCCGUAGUAACAGAGCAGGUGGCUUAAGUUGUCAAAACAAUUGCGCUUCAGAGAUUACCGACUUGGAGAGCUAAAGCUCCAGGCAAAAAAAUAUUAAAAAAUGGCCUUGUUUGUUCUUAACUGCUCAGUUAAGAACAGUGGACACCUAGUGGGAGGUGUCCUGGGGUUUUUUUGUCCACUUGUGGUAUGUGUCCAGUAUUGGAAGACUGGGUUUGGUUUUUGAAAACAUGUUUCUUUCCAGUAGCAAAGGUAAUGCUUCAUUGCUGCUUACAUGUAUGACAUCCUGCCAAUGUCAUCAAGACAUUAAGUUUGAGAUUAAUCAGGCUAGCCUGCAUUUUUAGUGGUGGUUCAAAGCUGUGUUACCUGAUCUUAAGUAUGUGGGGGUGUAGAGCUCUGGACUACUGGAAAACUGAGAACAACCUGCUUGGUGUGGAAAGAUGUGAAUGACCUGACCAGUUGUUGUGAAGCUGAUUCAAGAUAGUUCUGUUCUAAUGAAAUGCUCAAAAGAUACGUAAAAGUUAUGGUAAACUGUAAAUGUGGUGAAAACCAGUAAAAAGCAAAAGCAGAAGAGCGGUUGAAUCUCAGCAGAAUAACACAUAAUAAAAGUUUUGGUUUUUUCCCCUGUGGAUGUAGAUGGCUUAGAAAAUUCAGUGGCAUUAAAACCUACCAACCCUCAUUCUUUUUUUGUUUUGUUUUCUGUCUUGCUGUGUAACUGAGAUGACCUGUUCUGAAACUAUUUGUAAGCAGUGAGAAACUGCUAGGCAGGCGUGACUUUGCUAAGAAACCAGCCUGGGAAGGGACCUCAUUGUGCUUUCCAUAAAGACUUUGGCUUCAGAAGCUCAGGCAACUUUUAGAUUACGCUGCUUCUGGUAUCACCAGCUGCUUGGAAACGUGCAGGUGUAUGAUUUGAUCCUUACCCAAAAAAUGGGCUUGUAAAGGGACCUACCUGUCAAAGUUCUGGCCCAAACUUCUAGCAAACCUCAGAGUUCCUGACAGAAAGCAAAGAUCCGAUGUUUUUGUAUUUAUUGAAAAGUAUGGCAUUGUGCAUGGUAAUUAGCUUCGUACUUCUAGCUGAAUGAUACAGAAGGAAAAUGCACAAAAAAUAGAUUCUGAGUCUUAGUAAUAAUUAUUCAGACAAUGUGAAACCCAACUAGAGAUGUGUUAGGCAUUUUAAUGUGCACUGGCAAUCCUUCAGGGCAGCUUCUCCUAGUCUUUUUUGUCAUCUUAUGUGAGUUGAUUUUUAUGCUGUAUCUAAAUCUAGAUCCUUGAAUUGCC
ensembl:lncRNA